GACGACCGCUGGCGGCGUGCUUAUCACAUGCAAGUCGAACGGAAAGGCCCUGCUUUUGUGGGCUGCUCGUGUGGCGAACGGGUGAGUAACACGUGAGUAACCUGCCCUUGACUUUGGGAUAAACUCCGGGAAAUGGGGCUAAUAACCGAUAAGUGUAUCUGCUGCAUGGUGUCGGUUGGAAAGUUUCGGCGGGUGGGGAUGGACUCGCGGCUUAUCACCUCGUUGGUGAGGUAGUGGCUUACCAAGGUUCUGACGGGUAGCCGGCUAGGGAGGGUGACCGGCCACAAUGGGACUGAGAUACGGCCCAGACUCCUACGGGAGGCAGCAGUGGGGAAUAUUGCACAAUGGGCGGAAGCCUGAUGCAGCAACGCCGCGUGCGGGAUGACGGCCUUCGGGUUGUAAACCGCUUUCGCCUGUGACGAAGCGUGAGUGACGGUAAUUGGUAAAAAAGCACCGGCUAACUACGUG
rnacentral:rRNA from 1 species